CAGGGGGUAGUUUAAUUUAUGAUCUCAGCUUUGGGAGUUGAGGAUGGGAGUUAGAAUCUCCCCCCUUUGA
rnacentral:tRNA from 1 species